AUUGAACGCUGGCGGCAUGCCUUACACAUGCAAGUCGAACGGUAAUAGGUCUUCGGAUGCUGACGAGUGGCGAACGGGUGAGUAAUACAUCGGAACGUGCCCGAUCGUGGGGGAUAACGAGGCGAAAGCUUUGCUAAUACCGCAUACGAUCUACGGAUGAAAGCGGGGGAUCUUCGGACCUCGCGCGGACGGAGCGGCCGAUGGCAGAUUAGGUAGUUGGUGGGAUAAAAGCUUACCAAGCCGACGAUCUGUAGCUGGUCUGAGAGGAUGAUCAGCCACACUGGGACUGAGACACGGCCCAGACUCCUACGGGAGGCAGCAGUGGGGAAUUUUGGACAAUGGGCGAAAGCCUGAUCCAGCCAUGCCGCGUGCAGGAUGAAGGCCUUCGGGUUGUAAACUGCUUUUGUACGGAACGAAAAGCCUCUUUCUAAUAAAGAGGGGUCAUGACGGUACCGUAAGAAUAAGCACCGGCUAACUACGUGC
rnacentral:rRNA from 1 species